GACGAACGCUGGCGGCGUGCCUAACACAUGCAAGUCGAACGAAGAAUGUUUUUCGGAAUAUUCUUAGUGGCGGACGGGUGAGUAACGCGUGAACAAUCUGCCCCGUACAAAGGGAUAGCCUCGGGAAACCGGGAUUAAAACCAUAUAACACUUAACUGCCGCAUGGUAGUGAAGUCAAAUCGAUUAAGAGGUAUGGGAUGAGUUCGCGUCUGAUUAGCUAGUUGGUGAGGUAAGGGCUCACCAAAGGCGACGAUCAGUAGCCGGCCUGAGAGGGUGAACGGCCACACUGGAACUGAGACACGGUCCAGACUCCUACGGGAGGCAGCAGUGGGGAAUAUUGCACAAUGGAGGGAACUCUGAUGCAGCGACGCCGCGUGAGUGAAGAAGGUCUUCGGAUCGUAAAACUCUGUCCUUGGUGAAGAAAAGGACGGUAGCCAAGGAGGAAGCCCCGGCUAACUACGUGCCAGCAGCCGCGGGUAAACUCGUCUCUA
rnacentral:rRNA from 1 species